UAAAAUUUAUAAAAUUAGGUAGUAAAGAAAUUUCUGAAACCUAAAGAAUUUGGCGGUAUUUUAAAUAAUUGGAGGAACCUGUUAUUUAAUUGACAAUCCACAACAUAUCUUUCCUAAAUUUUAUUUGUAUAUCGUCGUUUUGAUAAUAUUUAAAAAUUAUAAUCAACUUCAACAAAUUUCUAAAAAUCAGAUCAAGGUGCAGUAUAUUUAGGUUAUAAUGGGUUACAAUAUAUUGAUAUAUUAUGGAUAUAAACUUGAAAUUAUAUUGAAAGUGGAUUCAAAAGUAAUAUUAAAUUAAAAUGUUAAUUUGGUUAAUAAUUUAAAAUAUGC
rnacentral:rRNA from 1 species